CCUAUCCUUGAAUAAACAGUUCCA
rnacentral:siRNA from 1 species